AUUUUGUCAGAUUAAUUUUUUAAAUAUUUCCAAACAGAUUUGCAACGUACAGUUUGCAGGCAUAAGAAGAGAAAUGUUGGGCAGGGGUGUGAGACCCAUUAAAACAAUAAAACAUUCCUGAGUUAUACCCAAGUUAGGGAGGAAGAUUUGUUCUUUCAUUCCUUCCUUCAUUCAUUCAUUCAUUCUCCAACAUUAGUUCAUUGUGAGUUCCUAUAAUUUGUGAGUCCUCCUAUGCACCAGGUACCACUCAAAGCACUGAGAAUCCCUCAGUGGACAGAAUAGACAAAAGCCUUGCCCUCUAGAAGUUACAUUCCAGUAGGAAACACCAUGGAACUUCUGAAAUGCCAUGCCGUAAAUCUAGACGGUGAAAUUAAUAUUUAAUGAGGACUCAAGAGACCAGAAUUCUAUCUCCAGUCCUGUUGCUAAGUAGCUUCUCUCUCAGUAAGACUACCUAACAUUUCUAUUUCUUCGUCUCCUCAUCUGUAAAGUGGGAAUAAUGCAACUUAUACUUCCUGUUGCAUGGAGUGGUCAUGUGACUCAAUCUGCUGAAAAGAAAACGCAGACUGCUAUACUCCAAAGAAUACCAAACAGCAAUACCACAGAAAUCGCAAUGAAAUGGCUUUGAAUGAAAGAAAGAGCUCCUGAGAAGGCAGCAGAGUGCCAACACUGCCAACAUCUAGUGGUGUGAUCCUAGGAUGAGUUGUCAGCCUCAAGCCUUGGUCUCUCUUUGGUAGGGAGGAGUCAAUGAUGUAAAUCCCUCAUCCUACUGGAAAGAUGGCCAACCUUGAAGAUGGCCUCAUUGAUUCUCUUCUCCUGAUGGUUCCACUGUUGUGUAGCCCCUUCCCACAUUUAACAGGCUGACUUGUAUAACCAACAGGAUAUUGCAGAAAUGAUUGUGACUUCUGGUGUGUGAGCAUAAAAGACACUGCAGCUUCUGCCUUUCUCUCUUUUGGAGAAAUCAAACACCAUGUCAUGAGGACACCCAAGCAGGUCUCUGGGACUGUCCACGUGAUGAGGAACCUCCAGCCACCAUCAGGUACCAACUUGCCAGUCAUGUGAGGGCACCAUUGUGUAAGUGGCUCCUCCAGCCCCAGUUGAGCCUUCAGAUGACAGCAGCCCCUAACAACAACUUGACUAUAGCCUCAUGAAAGACCCUGAGCCAGAAGCAUCCAAAUGGGUAACUCCCAAAUUCCUGACCACAGAAACUGCAAGAUAAUAAACGUUUAUUAAUAUUGGAG
rnacentral:lncRNA from 1 species